GGUUUGUCGCGUUGUUCGUGAAAUCUCACGGCUUAACUGUGAGCGUGCGGGCGAUACGGGCAGACUUGAGUACUGCAGGGGAGACUGGAAUUCCUGGUGUAGCGGUGGAAUGCGCAGAUAUCAGGAGGAACACCGGUGGCGAAGGCGGGUCUCUGGGCAGUAACUGACGCUGAGGAGCGAAAGCGUGGGGAGCGAACAGGAUUAGAUACCCUGGUAGUCCACGCCGUAAACGGUGGGUACUAGGUGUGGGUUUCCUUCCUUGGGAUCCGUGCCGUAGCUAACGCAUUAAGUACCCCGCCUGGGGAGUACGGCCGCAAGGCUAAAACUCAAAGAAAUUGACGGGGGCCCGCACAAGCGGCGGAGCAUGUGGAUUAAUUCGAUGCAACGCGAAGAACCUUACCUGGGUUUGACAUGCACAGGACGCCGGCAGAGAUGUCGGUUCCCUUGUGGCCUGUGUGCAGGUGGUGCAUGGCUGUCGUCAGCUCGUGUCGUGAGAUGUUGGGUUAAGUCCCGCAACGAGCGCAACCCUUGUCUCAUGUUGCCAGCGGGUAAUGCCGGGGACUCGUGAGAGACUGCCGGGGUCAACUCGGAGGAAGGUGGGGAUGACGUCAAGUCAUCAUGCCCCUUAUGUCCAGGGCUUCACACAUGCUACAAUGGCCGGUACAAAGGGCUGCGGUGCCGCGAGGUUAAGCGAAUCCUUUUAAAGCCGGUCUCAGUUCGGAUCGGGGUCUGCAACUCGACCCCGUGAAGUCGGAG
rnacentral:rRNA from 1 species